rnacentral:lncRNA from 1 species
CGCCGCAGGAUCCUUACUACGCAACGGCUCCGCCGCCGAGCGGUUAUCCUUACGGCGCGUACAACGCACCGCCGGCUUACGGUCAGCCAAGUUACGGCGCGUACGGGGCUGCUCCACCUGGAGGGUACUACGGUCAAGUUGAGGAGAAAAAGAAGAGUAAGUUUGGCGGGAUGGGGACGGGAUUGGCUGUGGGUGCUGUAGGGGGGAUACUGGGUGGACUGGCAUUGGCUGAGGGCGUUGACGCGUUGGAAGACCACAUUGCUGAUGAAGCGGCGGAAAAGGUCGAAGAUGAUCUUGGUUACGACGGCGAUGAUUUCUAGAGUCUAUCUCUGUAUGGGGCCCAUUUGCGAUUUCCAGAAAUUAUUAGAAAAAAAAAACAUUGGGGGCCCCAGUUAUGCUUUUUUUUU